rnacentral:lncRNA from 1 species
UCCGGCUUCUCCUUCACCUGUUGCACUUCCUUGCCCCGUCCAGAUUAGGUGGUCGGAAACUGCAGCCUUCAGCCGUCCCUGCAGCUGCCCAGCGUUACCCUCGGACGCCGCCGACACGUUCCUGGGCACACUGUCGGCGCCCAUCCCAGACGAACUCCACUUCACAUUGAAUCUGAACCCGUGAUGCCCCCUCCCAGCCGUCCCUUACCCCCUUGCGCCCCUACACCUGUAAGGCUUCUUUUCUCUUAAUUUCUUUUGGUUCCCAGCUGUCCUAUUGAAGUAUUAUGCAUCGGUUUCUUCAAACCAAGGUCCUGUGAUAAAGGGGGCUGAGGAAUAGAUUUAAUACAAAUUAAGGAGAUUGAGAAUAAACAUAAACUUGAUUUUCAGAUUUGAAGAAAUGUGAUGGUAGUGAGAUGUAUCCAUAUUUGGGUCCGCGAAUUUCAUUGUGAAUGAUCGGUUUUAUGUCCAUGAGAAAUAAUUUUGUAGAAUAUUUUGGGGGUGGGGGGUGGUCAUAUGAUGUAUUUUAAAGUUAUGAACUAAUUUAUGUGUUAUGUAUACAGAGUUUAUGGAGUUCAGUAUCCAUCGGUUGACUGCUACAGGAGCAAUUGGAGUGUUCCACGAACCUCUUGGCCAUGCAUUGUAUGAAUGCAAUUUUGGAGUCAAGGAAAAUACUUAUCUGAAGUCUGCAGAAAGUAACCAGUGCAAAUGUUGUAUACCAUUGCAUUUGUUUUCCUAAUGAAACUACUAAUUGAAACAGUUCCCAUCUUCUACAGGUACAGGGCUGGGUUCCGUUGGAAGUCAUCUGCAAGUGUGCCACCUCUCAUGAUGGAUUCUUCUCGUGGUGGGGAUUCGGUCUGAAGGUGGAAGCAUUGCUCCAGAGUCACUCAAAGUCUCAGAGUACAAAGUUUUUCAUAUCCAUUCAUUGGUCCUAAUUAUGUAACAAAAAUACUUGAAUUUGGUUUUCCGUGCUUCGACCCCUUCCACUUUUCCUCUAAACAUUAGAAUACUUCUACAUUCUUCUUGCCUUUUUUUAUUCAUCUCCUUAGUUGGGUUGAAAACUCUCUUGCAGAAAUUUGGCAACAAAUAAAUUUGAGGAAAGAAUACGAACACCAUUUUUGUCGUUGCACACCUGGACUCUCAUGGAUAUCUGGGAAUGAGCACUUCCUAUUCGAAAUUUACUUGCAGAAUCAAUUCAUUGGUAUGUAAUUUUUGCUGCAGCAAUAUGAGCAAAUAUUAUAUUCUUUGGGAUAGUUGCUGAUGUUUUUUCUUCACAUGAAAAGCUUAGUAAUGAUGUAAGGUAGGGUUCCCAUGUCACUUGUUAAAUAAACGAUUCAGUUUCAGCU